CACGGGGGGAGCAAGCGUUGUUCGGAAUCACUGGGCGUAAAGGGCGUGUAGGCGGUCAGGUAAGUGAAAUGUGAAAUGCCUCGGCUCACCCGAGGACCGGCAUCUCAUACUGCUUGGCUUGAGUUCGGGAGAGGAUGUGGGAAUUCCUGGUGUAGCGGUGAAAUGCGUAGAUAUCAGGAGGAACACCGGUGGCGAAGGCGCACAUCUGGCCCGAUACUGACGCUGAGGCGCGAAAGCUAGGGGAGCAAACGGG
rnacentral:rRNA from 1 species